AAAGCGGGACUUUCCUGCAACAUCCCAUGCAACAUCUCAUGUAGGACAGUUCAGAAGUUAUUACUUGUAUGAAUAUGGGUGAUGGAAAACAGCUGCAUUAUUGAAAAGACCUGCUAGAUCUUGGAUUCUUGCUCUGGCUUCUGAGAGGAAAUCAGAUGAGGCUUUGAGUGCAAUAGAGAGGAGAGAGUGUAUUACAGAGUCAUAGGAAAUGAGCACUGUCAAUGGCCAAGGGAAGAGCUGAAGAGGAAAAUACUCUCCUUGCCUGGCAAAGCUGAGCAACGACAAAGGGAACAUUGUACAUUCUGCCUGCUAAGCCAGAACCUGGAAGCACCCUAGAUGCUGAUGACUGGAUAAAGAAAAUGUUACCACAUUUUGGAUAUACGAUGGAGAACCCCUCAGCAGGAAAAAAAGGUGGAAUCCUGAAAUUCAAAGGCAAAUGGGUGGAACUAGAAGAAACCAUCC